rnacentral:rRNA from 1 species
GACGAACGCUGGCGGCGUGCCUAAUACAUGCAAGUAGAACUCAGUUGCGAACGAGUGAGUAACGCGUAGGUAACUGGCUCAUAGCGGGGGCUAACGAUUGGAAACGCUAGCUAAUACCUCAUACUGUGAGAUGGACCUGCGUUGUAUUAGCUAGUUGGUGAGGUAAAGGCUCACCAAGGCGACGAGACAUAGCCGACCUGAGAGGGGGAUCGGCCAAAAUGGGACUGAGACACGGCCCAGACUCCAACGGGAGGUAGCAGGAGGGCAUCUUCGGCAAUGGAGGGAAGGCUGACUAGGCAACGCCGCGGGAGUGAAGAAGGUUUUCGGAGCGCCAAGCCCUCUGGGUACAGAAGAGGGAACUACCCAGAAAGGGACGGUUAACCACGUGCCAUCAGCCGCGGUAAUAC